rnacentral:rRNA from 1 species
GAUGAACGCUGGCGGCGUGCCUAACACAUGCAAGUCGAGCGAAGCGGGGACGGGGGAGUAACAUGUGGAGAACAUCCUAUAAGGAUGGGAUAACUUCGGGAAAACGGAGCUAAACCGGAAAAUUAUCGCUGGAUCCGCUCUGGAUUAGCUAGUUGGUAAGGUAACGGCUUACCAAGGCAACGAUGCAUAGCCGACCUGAGAGGGUGACCGGCCACACUGGAACUGAGACACGGUCCAGACUCCUACGUGAGGCAGCAGUGGGGAAUCUUCCGCAAUGGGCGAAAGCCUGACGUAGCCACGCCGCGUGAAUGAUGAAGGUCUUCGGAUCGUAAAGCACUGUUAUUAGGGAGGCGUUACCUAAUCAGAAAGCAACGGCUAACUACGUGCCAGCAGCCGCGGUAAUUC